rnacentral:rRNA from 1 species
UCGUGGCGGCUUGUCACGUCGGGUGUGAAAGCCCGGGGCUUAACCCCGGGUCUGCAUUCGAUACGGGCUAGCUAGAGUGUGGUAGGGGAGAUCGGAAUUCCUGGUGUAGCGGUGAAAUGCGCAGAUAUCAAGAGGAACACCGGUGGCGAAGGCGGAUCUCUGGGCCAUUACUGACGCUGAGGAGCGAAAGCGUGGGGAGCGAACA